rnacentral:tRNA from 2 species
GCCUCUGUAGCUCAGCGGACAGAGCACCGGUCUUCUAAACCGAUGGUCGCAGGUUCGAGUCCUGCCAGGGGCG